UACGUAGGGGGCAAGCGUUGUCCGGAUUCAUUGGGCGUAAAGAGCGUGUAGGCGGCCAGGUAGGUCGGUUGUGAAAACUGGAGGCUCAACCUUCAGAGGUCGACCGAAACCAUCUGGCUAGAGUCCGGGAGAGGAGAGUGGAAUUCCUGGUGUAGCGGUGAAAUGCGCAGAUAUCAGGAAGAACACCCGUGGCGAAAGCGGCUCUCUGGAACGGUACUGACGCUGAGAUGCGAAAGCGUGGGGAGCGAACAGG
rnacentral:rRNA from 1 species